UACAGAGGGUGCGAGCGUUGUUCGGAAUUAUUGGGCGUAAAGCGCUUGUAGGCGGCUUGUUAAGUUCCGUGUGAAAUCCCCAGGCUUAACCUGGGAACUGCGUGUGAUACUGGAUGGCUUGAAUCCGGGAGAGGGAUGCAGAAUUCCAGGUGUAGCGGUGAAAUGCGUAGAUAUCUGGAGGAAUACCGGUGGCGAAGGCGGCAUCCUGGACCGGCAUUGACGCUGAUGAGCGAAAGCUAGGGGAGCAAACGGG
rnacentral:rRNA from 1 species